AUUGAACGCUGGCGGAAUGCUUUACACAUGCAAGUCGAACGUGAAAGCGGGGCAACCCGCAAGUAGAGUGGCGGACGGGUGAGUAAUACAUCGGAACGUGUCCAGUAAUGGGGGAUAACCUAGCGAAAGUUAGGCUAAUACCGCAUACGAUCUGCGGAUGAAAGCGGGGGAUGCGGCACUAAAGGCUUUUGGCGAAGGUGGCCAAAGGUGAGUCAAGAGCUUUUUAGUGCUGCACCUCGCGUUAUUGGAGCGGCUGAUGUCUGAUUAGCUAGUUGGUGAGGUAAAGGCUUACCAAGGCGACGAUCAGUAGCUGGUCUGAGAGGACGGCCAGCCACACUGGGACUGAGACACGGCCCAGA
rnacentral:rRNA from 1 species